rnacentral:rRNA from 1 species
UGGGGAAUUUUGGACAAUGGGCGAAAGCCUGAUCCAGCAAUGCCGCGUGUGUGAAGAAGGCCUUCGGGUUGUAAAGCACUUUUGUCCGGAAAGAAAUCCUUGGCUCUAAUACAGUCGGGGGAUGACAGUACCGGAAGAAUAAGCACCGGCUAACUACGUGCCAGCAGCCGCGGUAAUACGUAGGGUGCAAGCGUUAAUCGGAAUUACUGGGCGUAAAGCGUGCGCAGGCGGUUUGCUAAGACCGAUGUGAAAUCCCCGGGCUCAACCUGGGAACUGCAUUGGUGACUGGCAGGCUAGAGUAUGGCAGAGGGGGGUAGAAUUCCACGUGUAGCAGUGAAAUGCGUAGAGAUGUGGAGGAAUACCGAUGGCGAAGGCAGCCCCCUGGGCCAAUACUGACGCUCAUGCACGAAAGCGUGGGGAGCAAACAGGAUUAGAUACCCUGGUAGUCCACGCCCUAAACGAUGUCAACUAGUUGUUGGGGAUUCAUUUCCUUAGUAACGUAGCUAACGCGUGAAGUUGACCGCCUGGGGAGUACGGUCGCAAGAUUAAAACUCAAAGGAAUUGACGGGGUCAUAGCUGUUUCCU